UGGCUCUCGCAUCGAUGAAGAACGCAGCGAAAUGCGAUAAGUAAUGUGAAUUGCAGAAUUCAGUGAAUCAUCGAAUCUUUGAACGCACCUUGCGCCCCUUGGUAUUCCGAGGGGCAUGCCUGUUUGAGUGUCUUGUCUAUAUCAAACAUCCCGUUUGGUGUUGCGGGGAUUGCCGUGUCGGGCUCCCGUUGAAUGCAUCGGCCCAUUGUCAGCGGAGGCUCAGUGUUGUAACUUACUACGCUGCACCUUGUCUGACAAUGGCCGUCACUACGUGCUUGCAUUUUGACCUCAAAUCAGGUAGGAUUACCCGCUGA
rnacentral:misc_RNA from 1 species